rnacentral:rRNA from 1 species
GGACAACCUGCCCUGAGGACUGGAAUAAUCCCGGGAAACUGGGGGUAAUUCCAGAUAUGUCAGAACUCCUGGAAUGGGUUCUGGCAGAAAUGCUCCGGCGCCUCAGGAUGGGUCUGCGGCCUAUCAGGGUAGUAGUGGGUGUAACGUACCUACUAGCCUACGACGGGUACGGGUUGUGAGAGCAAGAGCCCGGAGAUGGAUUCUGAGACAUGAAUCCAGGCCCUACGGGGUGCAGCAGGCGCGAAAACUUUACAAUGCGGGCAACCGCGAUAAGGGGACCUCGAGUGCUGGGUUACAAACCUGGCUGUUGGGCUGCCUAAAAAGCAGUCUAUAGCAAGGGCCGGGCAAGACCGGUGCCAGCCGCCGCGGUAACACCGGCGGCUCGAGUGGUAACCGCUAUUAUUGGGUCUAAAGGGUCUGUAGCCUGCCGGCUAAGUCUCUUGGGAAAUCUGGCAUCUCAAGUGUCAGGCUGCCAGGAGAUACUGGUCAGCUUGGGACCGGGAGAGGUGAGAGGUACCUCAGGGGUAGGGGUGAAAUCUUGUAAUCCUCGAGGGACCACCAGUGGCGAAGGCGUCUCACCAGAACGGAUCCGACGGCAAGGGACGAAAGCUAGGGGCACGAACCGGAUUAGAUACCCGGGUAGUCCUAGCCGUAAACGAUACUCGCUAGGUGUCGGCCACGGUGCGACCGUGGUCGGUGCCGUAGGGAAGCCGUGAAGCGAGCCACCUGGGAAGUACGGCCGCAAGGCUGAAACUUAA